rnacentral:rRNA from 1 species
UAGGGAAUAUUGGUCAAUGGAUGGAAGUCUGAACCAGCCAUGCCGCGUGCAGGAAGAAGGCCUUCUGGGUUGUAAACUGCUUUUGCCAGGGGCUAAAAAGCUCAUGCGUGAGAAAUUGAAAGUACCUGGUGAAUAAGCCACGGCUAACUACGUGCCAGCAGCCGCGGUAAUACGUAGGUGGCAAGCGUUGUCCGGAUUUAUUGGGUUUAAAGGGUGCGUAGGCGGCUUUGUAAGUCAGUGGUGAAUAUGGCAGCUCAACUGUCAGGGUGCCAUUGAUACUGCAGAGCUUGAGUACAGAUGAGGUAGGCGGAAUUGACGGUGUAGCGGUGAAAUGCUUAGAUAUCGUCAAGAACACCGAUAGCGAAGGCAGCUUACUGGGCUGUAACUGACGCUGAGGCACGAAAGUGUGGGGAUCAAACAGGAUUAGAUACCCUGGUAGUCCACACUGUAAACGUUGAUGACUCGCUGUUGG